CUCGCCGCCGAUGGAGCGGAAAAAUCGCUACGAACGAUUUUGUUGAUGGGUUCGAAUCCCUCCGGCGAGUCCA
rnacentral:tRNA from 1 species